GUGGGGAAUAUUGGACAAUGGGCGAAAGCCUGAUCCAGCCAUGCCGCGUGUGUGAAGAAGGUCUUCGGAUUGUAAAGCACUUUAAGUUGGGAGGAAGGGCAGUAAGUUAAUACCUUGCUGUUUUGACGUUACCGACAGAAUAAGCACCGGCUAACUUCGUGCCAGCAGCCGCGGUAAUACGAAGGGUGCAAGCGUUAAUCGGAAUUACUGGGCGUAAAGCGCUCGUAGGUGGUUUUGUAAGUUGGAAGUGAAAUCCCCGGGCUCCACCUGGGAACUGCCUCCAAAACUGCAUGACUAGAGUACGGUAGAGGGUAUUGGAAUUUCCGGUGUAGCGGUGAAAUGCGUAGAUAUAGGAAGGAACACCAGUGGCGAAGGCGACUACCUGGACUGAUACUGACACUGAGGUGCGAAAGCGUGGGGAGCAAACAGGAUUAGAUACCCCAGUAGUCC
rnacentral:rRNA from 1 species